rnacentral:lncRNA from 1 species
AGACGGAUGACACUUCUUGAUGCUGGGAUCCAGACGAGAUUUGGAGAUGCGCACAAAGACAUCAAGUGUGUUACAAUUUGACCAAGCACGACGUGCCAGUCAGCCGGCUAUGCUAAGCACCAAUAUAAGGAGUUCUGAACUUGUUCCAAUGAACAAAUGCUUUGCUAGCAUUUUUUUGGAGCCGCUCAGUUUUCUGCAGCAGAACGUGUAAAGAACUUGUCUUGGAUUUUGAAAUGGAGACCUCUCUAUAAAAGAGGAAAAAGAUCUUCACCUGCAGAUGCUGAAGGAGACUGUGGAUGCUGGCUGCAAGCACUCUGGCAUCCAACAGGCACUGCGAUCCCGUGGCUCACGCAGCGGCAAACCAACUGUUUCUCCCCUGAUUGAUAACUUCUUGCUUCUUUAAGAGGUUACAAGCCCUUGCAUUAGGGAGCGUGACAGCACAGGCCUAAAGAGCGCAAGAGAAAAACCUAGCUCACCCAGUGGCAUUUAAUUUUUCUCAUUAUAUCCAGUGAAGACCAGGAUUUCUUCCCAGGACAUCUUCCCAGGGGUGAUGCGUCGCCACUUGAAGAGCGACCUCACAAAAGAGAAAAUCAAUUCUGAAGAACUGUUAUCGGCAGCAAGUUUUGGCAUUUUACUCACAGAAACCCCAGGAACUCUACAGACUGUUCUCGGUCUGGACACAUGUGACUCUUGCCUUGCCCAUACAGCAAAUGCAAUGUACCUGAGAAACACUGGGCCAACUGCCCAUGUGCAACACAAUGAAUUAGAGGUGUACUUCUGUCCAGCAACUCCAAAUAGAAAUCUGCUCGCCGUAAGUAUAGACGGAAGGAGAGGAGAAAGCGACUGUUCUUCGUCCUGA